rnacentral:rRNA from 1 species
AGAAUCAACGCUGGCGGCGUGCCUAACACAUGCAAGUCGAACGAGAAAGUGGAGCAAUCCCACGAGUAAAGUGGCGCACGGGUGAGUAACACGUGACUAACCUACCCUUGAGUGGGGGAUAACCUAGGGAAACCUGGGCUAAUACCGCAUAAUACCUACGGGUCAAAGGAGCAAUUCGCUUUAGGGAGGGGGUCGCGGCAGAUUAGUUAGUUGGCGGGGUAAUGGCCCACCAAGACAGUGAUCUGUA